rnacentral:rRNA from 1 species
GACAGAGGUGCCGAGCGUUAGGCGGAAUCACUGGGCUUAAAGCGUGUGUAGGCGGGCCGUUAAGUAUCUUGUGAAAUCCCCCGGCUCAACCGGGGAAUGGCUGGAUAUACUGGCGGUCUUGAGCAAUCUAGGGGCAGAUGGAACAGACGGUGGAGCGGUGAAAUGCGUAGAUAUCGUCUGGAACGCCAAUGGUGAAAACAGACAGCUGGGAGUGUGCUGACGCUGAGACACGAAAGCCAGGGGAGCGAACGGG